CUCAAAGCAGGGCGUACUUUUAACGCUGAUUAUUUUGUCUCGCUGCCUUUUAGCCCCACGCACGCUGUUUUCUCUCCCUGGGAACGGCCGAGCGGAGAGGAGCGGGACCUGCUCGGGGAGCGGCGCGGCCAAUUAGCGCCGAAAGUUCCCGUGCGAGGCAGAAAUUGCGCCUGCAACGAAAUUUCGCUGCGAGCCGCCGCGGAGAGACAGCGGUGCUGCCCCUCCCGCAGCCCCUCCCGCCGCGAUUCCCUCGACGAGGAUCAAAAGAGCCCCCCUCUCCCCCGCGCCCUCACAUCGAAAUGGUGCCGCUGCCUCCCAGCCCAACCGGUCAAGUUAAUUCCGGAACAAAGGAGGACACAAACACAAAGGAUCGCUCUCCCCCCGCCUUCCUCUCUCCCCGACUCCAACUUCCCCGGUGCCCGGGCCCGGCCCGGGCCGCCCCCCCGGGUCCCAGCGCCCGGCAGAGGGGGGUGGCAGAGGGGACAGCGGGGACGCGGGGCCGGUCUCUCCUCUGGGCGUUGAAAGGGGAGAAAUGCUCGCACUCAGGCCCGAAAGGGUAAAAAAAAAAAUAGUCUAUUACGGAUGGGUCGUCUCCCACCCCCGGGGCACGGAGCCCCUAAGGCAGCACCCGGGGCACGGAGGCAGCGGGGAGCAUCUUCCGAUGACGGCGCGACUCGGGCAAACUUCCCACGCCGGUGGCAGGGAGCCCCGCGCAGCCCCGCGGGUCGCGGUCCCGCGUGCGCCCCUACGGUGGGAGAAGAGCCCGGGGCCGCUCCCAGCCUCGAGGUGCCCCCGCCCGCGGGGCCCCGUCCCGGAGAGCGGCGGGGAGGGCGGAGGCCGGGAGGCGGCAGGCGUCGGCCCUUUGCGAAAGUAUCCCCGCAGCCUUCCUUCCCCCCGAGCGGACGCGAGAGCGGAGAGCCGGGGAGGGAGAGAGCGGGAGGACGCGGAAAACGCGGUGGAAGACGGCCGCGGGUGCGAGGCUGUCGCUGGGGAAGGGUGAGAGGAAGACGCGCGCCGAAGCCGCGCCGCAAACUUUCAGCCCCCGUUCGUAACGCGCUCGGCGAGGGGACGGCGGUGCCCGACCCAAAGAGGGGAAAAGCGGCUCUCGGAGACGUCCGCCGUAACUUAGAGCCGAGCGCCGGGGCGGCAGGAAGGCGCCGGGACUGCGCGCCCGGCACGGGAUCCGCUGCGCUCCUCCGCUGUGCUCCGGGGAUCCCGGGAGCCGCUCUGCGGGGCCGCUCCGGGUGCUGCGAGGUAGGGGGGGGCGGCGGCCGGGGGGGGGGGUUAAGGAAGGGGCUUCGCAGCGAGCGCCUCUCUGCUCUCCUCUGCCCUUUCUGUCCUUAUUUCCUUCGCCCUGACUCCUCUCUUUUCUUUUCUUUUCUUUUCUUUUCUUUUCUUUUCUUUUCUUUUCUUUUCUUUUCUUUUCUUUUCUUUUCUUUUCUUUUCUUUUCUUUUCUUUUCUUUUCUUUUCUUUUCUUUUCUUUUCUUUUCUUUUCUUUUCUUUUCUUUUCCUUUCUUUUCUUUUCCUUUCUUUUCUUUUCUCUUCCUUUCUUUUCUUUUCUCUUCCUUUCUUUUCUCUUCCUUUCUUUUCUCUUCCUUUCUUUUCUCUUCCUUUCUUUUCUCUUCCUUUCUUUUCUCUUCCUUUCUUUUACUUUCUCUACCUUUCUUUUCUCUUCUUUUUUCUCUUCUUUUCUUCUUCUCUAUUCUUUGCUUUUCUCUCCUUUUCUUUCCUUUUCUUCUUCUUUAUUCUUUCCUUUUCUUCUUCUCUAUUCUUUCCUUUUCUUUCCUUUUCCUUUUCUUUUUUUCUUUUUUCUUUUCUUCUUCUUUUUCUUCUUUUCUUAUCUUCUUUCUCUUUCCUUCUCUCUUCCCUCUCUUCUCUCCUUUUUCCCCCUUUCAUUUAUUUUCUUUUCUCCGUUUCCUUUUUUCUUUCCUCCUUUCUCUUUAAUUAUUUUUUCCUUUUUUUUUCUUUGACACUCUUCCCCCCCGUCGUCUUUUCAAGCUUUGUCCUUUUCCUCUUCCUUUUCUUUUCUUUUUUUCUUUUUUUUUCCGUUUUAUUUUUCUGUUUCCCUUUUUCCUUUUUCCUCUUGUUCCUUUUUAUAUUUCCUCCGCCCCCUCCCCCUUUUUCUUUUUCUUUUUAUUUUCCUUUUUUUUUUUUUUUCCUUGUAAGAAAAGCAACAAACCAACAACACGGCCAAGAACCAGAAUCACACUUUUCUCUCCCCUCCACCCAAACUUCCACUGGCUAUUUCCAUCCCCAACCCCUUUGAAGAAAGAGGAGAGGACAAUGACAAACAAAUAAACAACCCAAAUCUUGCCCUGCAGCUCCCAGCCGGGCUGCGUUGCGGCCGGGGAUGCUCCCGGCGGACCCCGUCCCGAAGCCGAACACAGGGACACGGGGACGCGGCCCCGCCGGAUCCCGGCUCCGUCUCGGGGCAUUGGUGGCCGCGCCGCCCGCUCGGGGCUGCCCCUCUCCGGCCCUCGGCAGUGGGAGCUGCCCACC
rnacentral:lncRNA from 1 species